rfam:Aspergillus carbonarius ITEM 5010 unplaced genomic scaffold ASPCAscaffold_6, whole genome shotgun sequence.
GGCAAGAUGGCCGAGUUGGUCUAAGGCGUCAGGUUAAGGUCCACCUUAAUAUUCAGCUUUACAGCUUCCUGAUCAUCGUUUGAUGGCGUGGGUUCGAAUCCCACUCUUGUCA